CGGGCUGUGGUAUAGUGGUAUUACGCACGAUUCGGGUUCGUGUAAUGGCGGUUCGAUUCCGCCCAGCCCGA
rnacentral:tRNA from 1 species